CCGGGGUGAGUAUUACAUCAGGUACUGGUGUGCUUUUUAAAUGCCGGGCAACGGGCAGCUGCUCUAUUCUGCGGACUGCCCCGAACUCUGGACAACCUAUCAGUACUUGUGUCAUACUCUCCUCGU
rnacentral:pre_miRNA from 1 species